UACGGAGGAUCCGAGCGUUAUCCGGAUUUAUUGGGUUUAAAGGGUGCGUAGGCGGCCUAUUAAGUCAGGGGUGAAAGACGGUAGCUUAACUAUCGCAGUGCCUUUGAUACUGAUAGGCUUGAAUGUACUUGAGGUAGGCGGAAUGUGACAAGUAGCGGUGAAAUGCAUAGAUAUGUGACAGAACACCAAUUGCGAAGGCAGCUUACUAAAGUAUGAUUGACGCUGAGGCACGAAAGCGUGGGGAUCAAACAGG
rnacentral:rRNA from 1 species